ACAGAGAAAAAUAUGGAGACAAGCUCGCCUGUUCUUCACUUACUUGAUAUCUACCGCAAAAGUAAGGGUUUCUUUACCGUACAGGGUACCUAUCAAAUUCGAAUGGGUUGUCUUCGACGGAUUCACUGUUGAAGAGGUUGAAUACUUCUUUAUUUUAAACAUGAUGCACAGGUGGAAAAGUAGUGGAAGCAAGCUAGAUGCACAGGUUGCUGAAUAUCCAAUAAUUGGAGCAAAACAAAUUGCACGAACUAACUAUGCGG